UCCCGCCUCUUCCUCUCGGCGCCUGCCUCUCCCUCCACCAGCAGAGCCCAAGACCAACAACUAGGCCGAGAAUAUCCGCACCUCCCGCUCAGUCCGCCCGCCGACCCUGCCCGCCCGGAGCACCGCUUCACGCCGACCCCUUCCAGCGGCACCCCGCACCCGCUCAACCUCACCUGGACAGGGAGGCCCCAUCUCGCUCUCCCUGUCUGGAGCUGGUUUUAAAUCGCGCGCCGAGACGCUUUAACGGCGUAACGGCCGCGGUGACGUUUACCGUGGGCGGGGCCAGAAGCGGGCCUGCGCAGGCCGCCGCAUCCUCCGCCGGUAAAGGGGGUGUGCCGGGCUGUGCACUAGUGUGCUGCUUGAAUGGCUGGUUUCCUGCUCGGUUCCUGUGAGCGCACUGUAGAGGGUCCAUGGACUCCCUGAAAUAGCAUGAAAACUCCCUCUUUUCGAGCUUAGACGCGGAACUGGGCACUAGCCCACUAGCUGGGCUCCAGCGCAGAGCAGGACGGGCGAAGACACUGCUUUCACGCAAUUCACUUUCUAACGAUGGGGGCAGAUUACUAGGAAACAAGGUUAAUUUCUCAUAGUGACCUGUAUUAUGAGGGCAGCAAAACACUAAGGAGGUAGAAAGCGAUGGAUGGGGUAUGGGACAGAGGUGAGAAGGAGCCAACAACACAAUGGACGGAUCGGGCAGGCGAAGGACAGGUUGUCAGUUCCAUGAGGAUGAAGCCAUUGUUUUCCCAGGGCUCGGUGCUAGCCCCGGACACAGCAAGUGCUUGAAUAUGUAUUGAAUGUGUGAAGUGGGAAGACAAGCUUAAAUCCUCGGUUGGGCAUGUGAACCUCUCUGGGCCUCAUUUUCUUCUGUUUAUAAAACAUUGAAGAUAAUACCCCUUCACUGGACUGCUUGGGGCUCCCUGUGCUGGGAGGGAGAGCCAGCUCCACCCCCUGGAGGGUCAUUCACCUCCAGAUCUGAAUGCCGUCUUUGUUUCUCGAGGGGUAUUUAGGAUAAAAUGAUGCGCUGUCAGCUUGGAUGUGAAUUAAACUAACAGUUCAACCAGGAAACCAGGUUGCAAGGAAUGUUGCUGGGAGUCAUUCACAAAAAGGAAUAAGCUGCGACGGAGGUAUUCUCUGG